rnacentral:rRNA from 1 species
CGAUGAAGGACGUGCUAAUCUGCGAUAAGCGCCGGUAAGGUGAUAUGAACCGUUAUAACCGGCGAUUUCCGAAUGGGGAAACCCAGUGUGAUUCGUCACACUAUCAUUAACUGAAUCCAUAGGUUAAUGAGGCGAACCGGGGGAACUGAAACAUCUAAGUACCCCGAGGAAAAGAAAUCAACCGAGAUUCCCCCAGUAGCGGCGAGCGAACGGGGAGGAGCCCAGAGCCUGAAUCAGCAUGUGUGUUAGUGGAAGCGUCUGGAAAGGCGCGCGAUACAGGGUGACAGCCCCGUACACAAAAGCGCAUGUGCUGUGAGCUCGAUGAGUAGGGCGGGACACGUGGUAUCCUGUCUGAAUAUGGGGGGACCAUCCUCCAAGGCUAAAUACUCCUGACUGACCGAUAGUGAACCAGUACCGUGAGGGAAAGGCGAAAAGAACCCCGGCGAGGGGAGUGAAAAAGAACCUGAAACCGUGUACGUACAAGCAGUGGGAGCACAGGUUUACCUGUGUGACUGCGUACCUUUUGUAUAAUGGGUCAGCGACUUAUAUUCUGUAGCAAGGUUAACCGUAUAGGGGAGCCGGAGGGAAACCGAUGCUUGAUUGGGCGUUAA